UACAGAGGUCCCGAGCGUUGUUCGGAUUCACUGGGCGUAAAGGGUGCGUAGGUGGUGAGGUAAGUCGGAUGUGAAAGCUCCAAGCUCAACUUGGAAAUGGCAUUGGAAACUACCUUGCUAGAGGGUUUGAGGGGGGACUGGAAUACUUGGUGCGCAGUGAAAUGCGUAGAUAUCAAGUGGAACACCAGUGGCGAAGGCGAGUCCCUGGAAAACUCCUGACACUGAGGCACGAAAGCUAGGGGAGCAAACAGG
rnacentral:rRNA from 1 species